rnacentral:ncRNA from 1 species
GCUUCGGGGCGAGGUGAAAAUCCUCACCGACGGUUAAAGUCCGUGAGCCGCAUUUGCGGUUGAUUGGGUGAAAUUCCCAAACCGACAGUAUAGUCUGGAUGGAAGAAGU